UAGGGAAUCUUCGGCAAUGGACGGAAGUCUGACCGAGCAACGCCGCGUGAGUGAAGAAGGUUUUCGGAUCGUAAAGCUCUGUUGUAAGAGAAGAACGAGUGUGAGAGUGGAAAGUUCACACUGUGACGGUAUCUUACCAGAAAGGGACGGCUAACUACGUGCCAGCAGCCGCGGUAAUACGUAGGUCCCGAGCGUUGUCCGGAUUUAUUGGGCGUAAAGCGAGCGCAGGCGGUUAGAUAAGUCUGAAGUUAAAGGCUGUGGCUUAACCAUAGUAGGCUUUGGAAACUGUUUAACUUGAGUGCAAGAGGGGAGAGUGGAAUUCCAUGUGUAGCGGUGAAAUGCGUAGAUAUAUGGAGGAACACCGGUGGCGAAAGCGGCUCUCUGGCUUGUAACUGACGCUGAGGCUCGAAAGCGCGGGGAGCAAACAGGAUUAGAUACCCUGGUAGUCCACGCUGUAAACGAUGAGUGCUAGGUGUUAGACCCUUUCCGGGGUUUAGUGCCGUAGCUAACGCAUUAAGCACUCCGCCUGGGGAGUACGACCGCAAGGUUG
rnacentral:rRNA from 1 species